GGACCAUAGCUCAGUGGCAGAGCAUCUGCUUUGCACGCAGCAGGUCCCAGGUUCAAAUCACGGCAUCUCUA